rnacentral:tRNA from 1 species
AGUUAAUUAAGCUUUAGAAAAGCACAUAUUUUGAAAAUAUGAGAUAAAUGUUAAAUUCAUUUAUUAACUU